UACAGGGGGGGCAAGCGUUGUUCGGAAUUACUGGGCGUAAAGGGCUCGUAGGCGGCCAACUAAGUCACACGUGAAAUCCCCAGGCUUAACCUGGGAACUGCGUGUGAUACUGGAUGGCUUGAAUCCGGGAGAGGGAUGCGGAAUUCCAGGUGUAGCGGUGAAAUGCGUAGAUAUCUGGAGGAACACCGGUGGCGAAGGCGGCUUCCUGGCCUGCAACUGACGCUGAGACGCGAAAGCGUGGGGAGCGAACCGG
rnacentral:rRNA from 1 species